UACGUAAGUGGCGAGCGUUAUCCGGAAUUACUGGGUGUAAAGGGUGUGUAGGCGGCUUAUUAAGUCCUGUGUUAAAUCCCACGGCUCAACUGUGGGCUUGCGCGGGAAACUGGUAGGCUUGAGUAGAGGAGAGGUAACUGGAAUUCCUAGUGUAGCGGUGAAAUGUGUAGAUAUUAGGAAGAACACCAGUGGCGAAGGCGGGUUACUGGCCUCUUACUGACGCUGAGACACGAAAGCCGGGGGAGCAAACAGG
rnacentral:rRNA from 1 species